rnacentral:tRNA from 1 species
GGUAAGAUGGCUGAGUAGAGCAUUAGACUGUAAAUCUAAAAACAGAGGUCAAGUCCUCUUUUUACCA